GCUGGGGGGCGGGUCCCCAGGGCGGGACCUACGUCACGCACUCGCUGUCCACCAAUGCUAGGACUUUGGGAGAAUGUUCCCAGGUCGAUGCCUGUGGUGACUUCAGCUAAACUACCAGCUGUUUCCAGAGUGACUACUACAUGCCAAGAACACUGAGUUCUGGAGUCUGGGAAGUCCAGGAUCAAGGUGUCAACCCAUCUGGAAUUGACACUAGUGAUUCUGCUUCUCUGGAGAGCCCUGGCUGACACGGCUCCAGUCCCAGCUGCCAAGUGACAGAUCUCAGGUUUCAACCCAAGCCUGUGUGAUGAGAGGGUCCAUUUCCUCCAUCCCUUGUGUGGUGAAGGUGACUUCCUGCCCACAGGUGAAGUUUGAUUCCGUCUGAGCUCAACUGGUGGCUCUUCGGCUCCAUGUGAUGCUGGCUGAAGCUGCGGUCAAUCCAGAGGCUCAACAGUGUUGGGAUAUCCGAGAUGGAGGCCUCGUAUGGCCAGUGCUUGAUGCUGGUGGUUGGCUGGACUAAGCUGGAGCCGUCAAACCCAGAGCCUAUCUUUGGCCCCCGUGUGGCGUGGGCUUCUCACAGCAUAGCUGUGAGAAACCAUAUAUUUUGCUCUUCAUCCCUGGCUCCUGGCCGGAGUUCCUAAACCCCUUGUGAUUUCCUAAGAGAUAAGAGUGAAAGGAGUAUUUUUGUUGUAAUAUGUGGGUUUUGUCUCCAGCUCCUGAAACAUCUUUUGUUAUUCAUAAUAAGCCCCUUUCAAUCUCAUCAGAGUUUAUGUUAGUGAGAUGACGCUUUUGGACGGCUCCUAGGGAUGGGGCUGGUUGCUGGGGAGACCUGAUUAGAGGGUUGGACCAGUCAGCCCCCCAGGAAGGGAGAGGGGCUGGAAGUUGGCCAAUGAUUUAAUCAAUCAGCCAAUGUAAUGGAGCCUCCACAAACACCACAAACGCAGGGGUUUGGAGGAUAGCGAAUGUCUGGAGGUGCCGGGAGGGAACCACACCCAGAGAGGCCAUGGGAGUUCUGCCCCCUUCCUUAGACCUUGUAUCUCCUCAUCUGGCUGUUCACCUGUCUCCUUUGCGAUAUUCCUCAUAAUAAACUGGUAAAUAUAAAUCAAUGUU